rnacentral:rRNA from 1 species
UACGUAGGGUCCAAGCGUUGUUCGGAUUUACUGGGCGUAAAGGGCGCGUAGGCGGCUUAACAAGUCACUUGUGAAAUCUCCGGGCUUAACUCGGAACGGCCAAGUGAAACUGUCAAGCUAGAGUGCAGAAGGGGCAAUCGGAAUUCUUGGUGUAGCGGUGAAAUGCGUAGAUAUCAAGAGGAACACCUGAGGUGAAGACGGGUUGCUGGGCUGACACUGACGCUGAGGCGCGAAAGCCAGGGGAGCAAACGGG